rnacentral:tRNA from 1 species
GCUAGAAUAACUUAGUUGGUUAGAGCGUAUGGAUGUUAAUCAAAGGUCAAAGGUUCGACCCCUCCUUCUAGCG